CAAAGGGCAGGACAAUGGGCUUCGACGCCGAGAGGCGGAGGCAAUCCCGAAACCUGCUCGUACUUCGGAUUGAGGGCUGCAAUUCGCCCUCAUGAAGCUGGAAUCCGUAGUAAUCGCGGGUCAACAUCCCGCGGUGAAUAUGCCCCUGCUCCUUGCACACACCGCCCGUCAAACCACCUUAGUUGGGUCUGGACGAGGGUUCGUCUUCUGGCGAACUCGAAUCUGGGUUCAGCGAGGAGGGUUAAGUCGUAACAAGGUAUCCGUAGGGGAACCUGCGGAUGGAUCACCUCCU
rnacentral:rRNA from 1 species